rnacentral:lncRNA from 1 species
CUCAUGGGUGGUACUAAUGUUUUUCUUGUUGCAUUAUUGGUGGUGCUCUAAACAGUGUCUAAUAGUAACAGUAAUAACAGGCAUCCCUCUCUCCUUUCUGACUUUGAAACAAUGUUGUUGUUUGGGCUUCUGGUAGAUACUUUUACCAAGUACAUUAGUCUGACAAGGGGGUGCUGAUGCAAAGUUCCAGAAAUAUGUUGGCUUUUAUAAAGGGUAUUUAUUUGGAGUAGAAACUUAAAGUUACAAGGCCCUAAAGAAUCCAACUCAAGGUUCCUUUCUCACCAGUCAGUUGCCACGUGUUGAAGCAAGAUAGUUGCUGGUCACUGCGAGGGUUCAGCCUUCCUCUCUCUCAGCUACAGGUUGGCACAGGGCUCUUCUCUCUUCCUGGGGCUUUAGCUGUUUAAGCUUUCUCCUUUCUGUCACAUGGCAAGACCAAAAUAAUCAAAUUCUUUCCUCUUCCUUGUCUUCUUUUGUGUGUCUUCUUGACUGAGUAUCCAUUUAUAUAGCCCACCAAGGGGGUGGGGACUCAACCCUGAAUUAAACUCUAAUAAUAAUAAUAAUAAUCUUAAACUGCCAUACCACGUUAAGAAUGUUUCCCUCUUUUGCUACCUCUAAGAGUUUUUAUUAGGAAUUACAUGUUGCUUGUUAUCUAAAACAGUAAAAUAUAUUAAGUGCCACCUGCACUCAAGAUUCUAAACUAGGUAUUGUGGAAGAGCCAAAGAACUAUGAAAGAAGCUAGUACACCUGUCCUGGAAAAAAAAUUGUCAUCUGGCUGGGAAGAUAAGACUUAAGAUAAAUAAAAGGAAUGAAUAAAGCUUUGGAAAGAAUGGUUAUUGUGAUAGAUAAUCAUGGUUAUGUUUUUCUUCCAAAACAGAUUUAUUCUCAUAGAGCAGCAUCAGAGGAAGAUGAAGAAAAAGGCCCACGGAAAUGCACAACUGAAAGUGAGAAUCAGGAGGGAUUUUUCUGGAGAAGACGGCCACUUUGACUGAGGGAUAUGUAUAAGCCUCUCAACGCCACACGCAAGAAAAACAUGGCACACAAGCUACAUGACAAAGACUCUUCAGAUUAGGAUGAGAUUUUCAACAAGGAUGCAGGGUAAAUGACGGGGGACAAUUUAAACGUCUUAUCUAAAUGAGUUAAAGUCUUACUUUCAAGAGUAAAAGCCAUUGGCAUCAAUCUUCUCCCAGGGAGCGCAGUGCCCCACCAGAGAAAAUGGAGUCUCUAGAAGCUGCUGAAGAGGAAACUGAAGAAGCCACAGUGUGACCCCCGCCCCACCUCAGGCCACCUGCAGAUUUUAUUUUCUAAUAUUGACUUCUCAGCAUUACUUGUAAAAAUGCCUAUUUUCCUCAUAUUAAAAUGUUUAAAACCCAUAGCCGAUUCUAGCUAUGUGGUAAGGAAUCAAAAUGUAA